UCAGAGUGGCAACCAAAGGUGUCUCCAGAAGCUGCCACCUGUCACCCCAGUUGGGAACCACUACUCAAGCUACUCAGGCAUGGUAUGUCGGUUAGUUUUGAGGGACAUUGUUCCUGGAAGGUAAGCCUUGUGAAAUCAGAACAGGUGGUUGCUUUCCAUAUGUGACGAAAGGGAGAUUAUUAUUAAUUUCUGUCAUUAACUCCAGCUAGGCAUGGGGGGGGGCGUCCCUGGAGAGUCUGUCCUAUGAGAAAGGCAGUAGAGGAAAAGGGAGGUCUGCCCUUCUCAAGGAUCUGUGAGGGGCUGUGAGGAUGGAUGGUUUGGGGAGGGUGGAGACCCUGAGGACCAGCAGGAUGCUGGACAGCGGUUUUGUACACAGUAUAAUCCCUCCCCACACCUGCCAUAACUUCAGGAAUGUUACUAAGCUCCCCAAACCAGGUUGCCUUUUGGGAAAUUGCAGUGAGCCUGCUAGUUCACAUGGAUGCAGCAGUGGAGACAAGGGGCCCAGGAGGUAGGAAGAUUGGAAAUUCACAGAAAUUAUGAAGCAGGAACGUGUGGAAAUGGUGUGUCCUGAAGUAUGUGCCCCGCCGGUGAUUAUGAGCUCUUGUUCAGCAGCAGGUGCAGAAGUCCUGGGCCAGGAGGUGAUAGAUGCUGUGUUUGGGCACAUCACUCACCUGUUGGACCACCUCAGUGUCCCUGUAGUUGAGACAGAGUGACAUGGCACCUGAGCUUGGUUUAAGAUGACAGGUAGAAGCACCUGGAAAAGAAAGGGCUUCCAGAACCGCUGGAUUUAGUGAUGGAGGAACUUGGAGGGGUCUGCUUCCAUCCUCUUGGAUUCAUGGAUUUUUCACUCAUGGAUAACUAAGGGAUGGAGAAUUCAGAUUUCCAGACGAAGCACAUUCAUUUAAGGCAACUUGAAUUCAGAGGAAAUAAUUGAAAUUGUCUGCAAUUUACGUUUUCAUCAUCUUUACCUUGUGAUUCUAAUUCUGCCAACUGGAUUCACACAGAAGAAGCUGAUGUCCUGCAUCUGAUGCCCUUUCAGUACUGGAGCAGCUGUCCUGGUAUUUGUUCUCCCAGGAAAGAGUCAAAUGUGGCCCACCUUCUUCAGUAGAAGAAUCCGUAUAUUUCUAGUUGAAUGGCCUUCUUUAUCUUAUUUCACCCUUGGAAAAAACAAGUACUAUCUGUAGAUCUUUAGGUUCAUGUUGUCACUUGAAGAAUUUUUAAAGCGAGAUAGUUCCCUGGUGGACUGGUGGUUGGGACUGGGCGCAUUCACCACUGUGGCCCAGGUUCAAUCCCUGGUCUGGAAGCUGAGAUCCCACAUUAAGUAGCUGCACGCUGCCCCUAGGGGGUAAAAAGAGAAUUCUUAAAGUGCUUUGAAAUUCCUAGAAUAGGAGUGCUGUGUUAGGCCUUGGUAACUGGACAGUCACCACUUAGUUAAAAUCUAGAAAUUACGAUGAUUUCCUCAGUUGGAAAUGCAGUUAUACCGGUUAGAGUUACAUGGCUUUAUUGGUUACAGUUACAUGAUUAUAUUGGUUAGAGCGACUUGGUUAUAUUGGUUAGAGUUACAUGGUUGUAUUGGUUAGGGUUACAUGGUUGUAUUGGUUAGGGUUACAUGGUUGUAUUGGUUAGAGUUACAUGGUUGUAUUGGUUAGGGUUACAUGGUUGUAUUGGUUAGAGUUACAUGGUUGUAUUGGUUAGAGUUACAUGGUUGUAUUGGUUAGAGUUACAUGGUUGUAUUGGUUAGAGUUACAUGGCUUUAUUGGUUACAGUUACAUGAUUAUAUUGGUUAGAGUGACUUGGUUAUAUUGGUUAGAGUUACAUGGUUAUAUUGGUUAGGGUUACAUGGUUGUAUUGGUUAGAGUUACAUGGUUAGUUACAUGGUUGUAUUGGUUAGAGUUACAUGGUUGUAUUGGUUAGAGUUACAUGGUUGUAUUGGUUAGAGUUACAUGGUUGUAUUGGUUAGAGUUACAUGGUUGUAUUGGUUAGAGUUACAUGGUUGUAUUGGUUAGAGUUACAUGGUUGUAUUGGUUAGAGUUACAUGGUUGUAUUGGUUAGAGUUACAUGGUUGUAUUGGUUAGAUUACAUGGUUAUACUGGUUACAGUUACGUGGUUAUACUGGUUACAUUACAUGGUUAUAUCUUAAGUAGUUCUGUUUAUUAGUCUCCCUCCUUUUGUACUUUCCCGUCAGUCAUGGUUUCAUUAAUACUAAAUCAGUGAGUUCUUAAAGCUUGUUUCUUCCAGGGAAAAACUGAGUUUAAAUGUCAGAAAAUUGCCCUGUAGUCAUCUUAUCCUGGGCUAGAGGCACUCUUGAGCUACUUAAUUUUUUUAAGUGGAAGAAAUUGCUGUCAAAACAGCACCAGAUCCAGGAAGUAGUAAUGACAAUUGUUACAGCCACGCACAGUAGGCCCGGCUCCGGUGGAAGCAGAGCCAAGCCCAGGGGUUCUGACUCUUGGUCCUGUGACAUUUCCUUUCUCCUCGACCUCUGUGGUGAUUGUGUUUCACUGGUAAUAAUUCACCUUCUUCUGCAGACGUCAUAGGAGAUAUCUUGGUGUCAAGGACAUAAAAGUUAGGUUUGACCAGGUCUUUAGCUGAAGACAAGCUGUUGGUUUCUUCCAGGUAAGGAGGUGCAGGUGAGGGUCUUCCUUCCUCUGUGUGCUGACAUGGCCGGAGAAGCAGAGGGCAGGGACGGGGUGGCGGGGGCUGCGGCAUCCUCCAUGCCUCCCUUGGUUCAGCAGCUGCCUCACGAGCUUCCGGGUCCCUUUCAACCAGGUCUCUGACCCUGAGUCUCCAUGGGGGCCACACCAAGAUUUAAAUUUCCUAAAUCUUACUUGCUCACUGCCCAACCCUAAAAUUUCUGUUCCCAUCCCUCCCCUGGCCCUGCCUUUCUUCUUUCCCACCUGCUCCUAUACCACUGGUCUCUCUGCAGGAAAAAUACAGACUUACCCUGAAGCUAAAGAAGCUGAAGUCCAGGGCCCCCACCUGCACUCUAAGACCCCAACCCCAAGGCCUUGGGAAGACACUAAUCAUUUUCUCUUUGGAAGUUUAACCCAUUUUCUUUUGAUGCCAAAUAAUAUCAGCUUUGGGAUCUGUGCUUUUUCUUGAGGAAAACACCUUGGGACUCAUAGAAACCGAACAAACAGAUAUUUCAUGGCUUGUGUCUUAAAUGUUAAGGCUAACAACUAAUAUCUGUGGUACAUGAUGUUUGGCCCAUGAGUGUGGAAUAACAAUUUGCUUUGACAUCUAAUUUUAAAGGGUGUAAGUGAAUUGGACAUUGAGUCAGCACAAUUCUUCCCAAUUCAGUGGGGCCACUGGGGUGACAUUGGGUAAGUAGAGUGCAUGGUCAGUAAGACACUGUUUUUUUCUUCUCUUUAUUAUUUAUUUAUUUUUAUUACUCAAUGAAUUUAUUACAUUUGUAGUUGUACAAUGAUCAUCACAAUCCAAUUUUAUAGGAUUUCCAUUCCACAACCCCAGCACAUCCCCGCACCCCCCAAACUGUCUCCUUUGGAGACCAUAAGAUUUUCAAAGUGUGUGAGUCAGUAUCUGUUCUGCAAAGAAGUUCAGUCUGUCCUUUUUUCAGAUUCCUCAUGUCAGUGAAAGCAUUUGAUGCUGGUGUCUCAUUGUAUGGCUGACUUCACUUAGCAUGGUAAUUUCUAGGUCCAUCUAUGUUGCUAAAAAUGCUAGCAUUUCAUUCAUUUUAAUGGCCGAGUAAUAUUCCGUUGUGUAUAUGUACCAUAUCUUCUUGAGCCACUCCUCGGUUGAUGGACAUUUAGGUUGUUUCCAUGUCUUAGCUAUUGAAAAUAGUGCUGCAUUUUCUUCUCUUUAUAUCUGAGGAUAGGGAUCUGGCAUAUUAGUGAAACCAGAAGAUUUUUACUUGCACCACACAGCACCCUAACAGAGCUGAGAUGGCCCACAGGAAGGGGGUCUGUGGGAGCUUGCAGCAUUCUACAGCGUGUCCAGGACCGUGAUGGAGACAGGACAGCAGCUAACAGGCCUUUGGAGCCCCACACAGACAGGGAUUCAAGACGGGGCUGGUUCAGAGCCCAUCCAUGUACACAUGCAUUUGUCAGCCCUCCCCUCCAGGCUGGCCUUGAUCUAGAGAACCGUGUCGUCCAAAAGGGCAUAUUCAGUAGUGACAAAGAGGUGCCCGGAGACAAAAAAAUGUCAAGCGUUUCAGCACAAGCUGAAAACAUCUGAAGUGAUCAGACAAGAGAACAAAGGAGGGAUGAUUGGUAUAUUUAAUGUGGACCAGCAGUAGAGGUGGUUUCUAAGGGCCUGCACUGAGUCCUGCCUACGGGAGAACUACUAAAGACUAAUGCCUCCAUCUCAGCGUUACUUAGGCUCCAGGAGAGAAAUGGGUCGACUUCAUUUCCACAUCAGGGGGCCUGGAUGCGCUCCAACCACUGGGCCUCCUUCCUCCUGGGGCCAGGCUGGAAGGGGACGCCCGCAGGGAGGCAGGAAGGACAGGGCACUAGAAAGACAAGCAGUCUCUGAGGGUGCAAAAGGAGGGAAAGUGUGGAGGGAAGGUGAGGCAGGUUUCACCCUGUAGGCAGGACCCUGGAGGGGCUGGCGGGGGGUUGGGGGGUGGACACGGGUGCAGUUGUUGUGAGCAGGCUCCCGCACCUGCCCCUCUGCCCCUCCCCUCCCCUGAAGGGCAGACAGGAGAGGGGUCUUCUCCCAAGCCCUGAGCCAACAGCCGGGCUGGUCCCCAGAGUGAAAUCUCCCUUAUUCUGGUUUGGGUUGGAGUGGUGCGGCGGGGAGGAGGGGAAUUGCCAGUCUAGGGCCAAUUAGCUCCUCACCCAUCUGUCUAAGUAAAGCACCAAACCCCAUCUGUGGACCCUGAACGCACCCCCACCAGCUACGUUCCACUCAGAGUCCAUGGCAAACCUACAGCAGGUCAUCGAAGGAGGCUGAGGCUCGUCCCACGGCCUGAAGAGGAAGGCAGCGAAAGGGGACAAGCCGAAGAUCCACACAGUCCGCUGACCUGGGGAGGGGCUAGGUGGGAAACAAAAGAAAGAAAACCAAAAGUCGAAUUGUUGUCUUCAGAAACAUUCAAGAAAAUACCGCACAAUCCAAAAUGUGAGAACAGGAUGCUAUUUAUGAACAGGCAGAGAAUAGGAAAGAAAUCAAAAUUUGAUUGCGGAACUUAAAAUCCCAUGGAAGAGAUGGCAGCCAGGAUGGAGCUCGAGGGAGGCUCGCAACAGAGCUUGCUGGAUGGACUUGCGAUGCAGAAACACACAAGGAGAGAAAGAAGACGUGAUGCAAGAACCUGACCCCAGGGGCUGGGGAGAUCCGGUUGCAACUAGCUGUGCAGACUGGCCGGUGGGUGUUGGAGCAUCGGCCAAGGAUGCAGACAAGCUCAGCACCAUCAGCAGCAGCUCAGGGGACGCAGCAUUGAGCCUUCACGUGGCUGACCGCGUCUGUGUCCCUCCUGUGCCGGCGGCCAUGGGGCCUCCCUAGGAUGAACAGUCUGGCUGGCUGCCACCCUCUUCUGCGCCACCCACGGCCCUGAAACUGGGAGUGAUGGCAACACAGCUUCUGUGAAUGGGGAAGCUACUGGCCACUGAUAACAUCUAUUUUGCUUGGUUGUAAGAAUCUGAAGAGCAUCUGGGGACUGCUGUGUGUGUGGCUGGGUGUCCAGAGCCUGGCUCUCUGGACAGGAAGCAUCUGUGCUCAGAGGCAGGCUUUCCCCAGCUCCUGGGUUCUCCUCUGGAGCUGGCGGCGUGAUUCUGCUGUAGGACGGACGGACGGAAAUCCCCCUCCAAGUGCUGUGAGCCAGGCCUGGGAAGAGCCCGGCCUCCAUUCCACCAGCAGCACAGGAUAUCGGGGCUCUGCACCUCCACCUGGAACCUCAGGGCAGACGUCUCCGCUCCAUAGCUUUCGUCCUCGGUGUGGCCCAGACCACCAGAAGUGGAGAAGGAUUAUCUGCAGGUGUUAUAUCUCUGGAUUCCCCAAUUCUCUCACAGUCUACUAGGUCCCCAGAGCUAUAUUCCGUGACUCCUACAAGCCUGAGUAAAUUUAUCAGAGAAUUAUUAUUUAACGUUAUGUUCCCAAUUUUUUUGUGUGACAGUAGGAGAAACCAGUACAUUUAUUCAACAAAUAUUAGUUGAACUUUUACCACAUGCCAGGCACUGUUGUGAGCGCAGCAGCAAAGGUUGGUUAUUUGACAUGGAAAACAUCCUUCCCUAGCUUGUUGAAUAUUCCUUUAUGAAAAAAAAAUUCUCCUAUUGCUUAGCUGGCCAAAAUAUUAUCUUUUCUGAAAAAAUGGAUACACUUCCUUUUAUUAGGUAAUGUAACAUAUAGGGAAUAUAGCGUGUGUUCAUAUUUCCCUUUUCAAUUUAACUAUCAGGAAACUCAGAGCUGAACGCAAUAUUCAUUGUUUGAUACAAUCAUUUCUUCCUUCAGUCUUUUUUGGUACCCUUUAAUUAUUCAUUGUAUACUGGUCAUCUACUGUAUGUCACUACAAACUCUUUGAAAGCAGAUUGAUCAGAUAUGACUAAUAAAUGACCUAAUUACAUUGCCUUA
rnacentral:lncRNA from 1 species